rnacentral:rRNA from 1 species
CCUACGGGAGGCAGCAGUAGGGAAUCUUCCGCAAUGGGCGAAAGCCUGACGGAGCAACGCCGCGUGAGUGAUGAAGGUCUUCGGAUCGUAAAACUCUGUUAUCAGGGAAGAACAAAUGUGUAAGUAACUGUGCACAUCUUGACGGUACCUGAUCAGAAAGCCACGGCUAACUACGUGCCAGCAGCCGCGGUAAUACGUAGGUGGCAAGCGUUAUCCGGAAUUAUUGGGCGUAAAGCGCGCGUAGGCGGUUUUUUAAGUCUGAUGUGAAAGCCCACGGCUCAACCGUGGAGGGUCAUUGGAAACUGGAAAACUUGAGUGCAGAAGAGGAAAGUGGAAUUCCAUGUGUAGCGGUGAAAUGCGCAGAGAUAUGGAGGAACACCAGUGGCGAAGGCGACUUUCUGGUCUGUAACUGACGCUGAUGUGCGAAAGCGUGGGGAUCAAACAGGAUUAGAUACCCUGGUAGUCCACGCCGUAAACGAUGAGUGCUAAGUGUUAGGGGGUUUCCGCCCGUUACGUGCUGCAGCUACGCAUUAAGCACNCCGUCCUGGGGAGUUACGACGCAAGGUUGAAACUUCAAAGGAUUGAGGCUUGAGGCGNGCGAGGCGACGACGAGGAGGAGG